rnacentral:rRNA from 1 species
AGUCAAUAGAUACCCGGGUAGUCCAUGCCGUAAACGAUGAUUGCUAGGUGUGGGGGGUCUGACCCCUUCCGUGCCGGAGUUAAACACAAAUAAGCAAUCCACCUGGGGAGUACGGCCGCAAGGUUGAAACUCAAAGGAAUUGACGGGGGCCCGCACAAGCAGUGGAGUAUGUGGUUUAAUUCGAAGCAACGCGAAGAACCUUACCAGGUCUUGACAUCCACCGAAUCCUGUAGAGAUACGGGAGUGCCCUUCGGGGAACGGUGAGACAGGUGGUGCAUGGUUGUCGUCAGCUCGUGUCGUGAGAUGUUGGGUUAAGUCCCGCAACGAGCGCAACCCUUGUGAAUAGUUGCUACGAAAGAGCACUCUAUUCAGACCGCCGUUGACAAAACGGAGGAAGGUGGGGAUGACGCCAAAUCAUCAU